AUGACCACAAUUGUACUACCUGAUGACCUGGUGGUGCAGAUCUUCUCUCGGCUGCCGCUGAAGUCCUUUUGCCGUUUCAGAUGUGUCUCCAAAUCUUGGCUUGCCUUUUCAUCUGAUCCGCACUACCGCCAGAAGCUCCCAAGAACUCCUGUCGGUCUCUGA
rnacentral:rRNA from 1 species